GAAAUGCGAUACGUAAUGCGAACCGCAAAACGCGAGUCAUCAAGUUUUUGAACGCACUUGGCGCUGCUUUUAGCAGCAUGCUUGUUUCAGUGUCGGUAUAUCACCACACUCCCACACCCCCGUGUUUGAGCAAUCGACCGCGGGGGCUGUGUUUGGGUCGUUGAGUUCGCCACGACGGCGUGCCUCUCUCGGGAGGUGCGCCCGUCUCGCAACUUGAAGUGUGAGUGGCUGUGUGCCGAGCUUCGGCGCGUCGCGCAGUCAUUUGUCUAAACCAGUUUCAAUGGAAAUUGAGCGGCGCUCGUCGUCACUCAAUGAACCGUUGUAAGUCUUCCUGGUGUGGUAGUA
rnacentral:misc_RNA from 1 species